AGUGAACGCUAGCGGUAGGCCUAACACAUGCAAGUCGAACGGCGGCACAGGAGAGCUUGCUCUCUGGGUGGCGAGUGGCGGACGGGUGAGGAAUACAUCGGAAUCUACCUUUUCGUGGGGGAUAACGUAGGGAAACUUACGCUAAUACCGCAUACGACCUACGGGUGAAAGUGGGGGACCGCAAGGCCUCACGCGAUUAGAUGAGCCGAUGUCCGAUUAGCUAGUUGGCGGGGUAAUGGCCCACCAAGGCGACGAUCGGUAGCUGGUCUGAGAGGAUGAUCAGCCACACUGGAACUGAGACACGGUCCAGACUCCUACGGGAGGCAGCAGUGGGGAAUAUUGGACAAUGGGCGCAAGCCUGAUCCAGCCAUACCGCGUGGGUGAAGAAGGCCUUCGGGUUGUAAAGCCCUUUUGUUGGGAAAGAAAUCCUGUCGAUUAAUACUCGGUGGGGAUGACGGUACCCAAAGAAUAAGCACCGGCUAACUUCGUGCCAGCAGCCGCCGUAACAC
rnacentral:rRNA from 1 species